UGGGGAAUAUUGGACAAUGGGCGCAAGCCUGAUCCAGCCAUGCCGCGUGAGUGAUGAAGGCCCUAGGGUUGUAAAGCUCUUUCACCGGUGAAGAUAAUGACGGUAACCGGAGAAGAAGCCCCGGCUAACUUCGUGCCAGCAGCCGCGGUAAUACGAAGGGGGCUAGCGUUGUUCGGAUUUACUGGGCGUAAAGCGCACGUAGGCGGACUUUUAAGUCAGGGGUGAAAUCCCGGGGCUCAACCCCGGAACUGCCUUUGAUACUGGAAGUCUUGAGUAUGGUAGAGGUGAGUGGAAUUCCGAGUGUAGAGGUGAAAUUCGUAGAUAUUUGGAGGAACACCAGUGGCGAAGGCGGCUCACUGGACCAUUACUGACGCUGAGGUGCGAAAGCGUGGGGAGCAAACAGG
rnacentral:rRNA from 2 species